UAUAAUAACAUUCCCAUGUUACAUGCAUGUGCAUAUUAUGAUUACUACACAAAGCAGUGCUGGUUGUUUGUGGAAGGUCUUGGAUUCAAACCAUGGUAUGUUGUGAGAACUUUUUGUUUUUUGGAACUGCGAGAACUGUUGUCACACCAGUUUCAGUAUGUAUGCAUGUUUGUACUUACAUCUGAUUAUUAUCUGUGUUUUGGCAAAACAACUUAUAAGAAAUGGACAACAUAAUAAUAUGCAGUGCUGCAGGGCUUGGGGUUUGUGCGGUAACGAGUACCUCUCUAAUUAUUAUUAUUUCUGCAUUUGAACAGAUGCUCAACAUGCAAUAAAAUUGAAGUGUAUUAAAAAAUAUAUUUUUUAUUAUGAUUUGAUCUCUUUCCUUAUUUAUGUGGACUUCUUUACACAUCCACCCCCUGCUUGCUCUCCAUCCAUCUCUCUCUAGGGCAAGGUCAGUUCAGUAAGACUGAGGAUUCUAAGAGAUGCCAACGGAAUUCAAACAUUACCCACUAUGCCUUCAAGCAGGACAAAAAACAAGCCUUUCAAACAAGUCCGAGAUGCAAAAUGCGACACAACUUACACUGAUGAGUUGGAGUCAAGUGUCCACCAUGCGUCAGAUGCUGAUAGUCAAGCACUGGCUGAAAGAUGCCAUGCUGCAGUGACCACCUGGGUAAUUGCUCAAAAGUGUCAAGCGGCACAAAAUCUGGAGAACGUUACAGCAUGCCCUCUCGCAUGUUCAAUCCCAACUGUUGAAGUGGCUGUUGGAACUCAGAUGGAAUCCCUGCCUUCCUAUAUCAACUUCUCACCUUCUUUGUCCUACCUUGACAGACUGACACUAAAACAUCUGCGAAGAGAGUCAAUGAGCUGGAAUUGGCCAUCGAGUCAUAACCAAAGAAAAGAGUCAGAAUCAAAGGAAACACCCCAAAAAGCUGAGAAAGGAAGAAGAGAUGCAAAGGCCUUCAGCUGAACCGUUUCAUGGAAACAAAGGAGCACACGACGACGAGCAGCAUGAUGAUAACGAAAAUGUUAACCUGUCAUAUUUGAUGGAUAAAUGCAAUGGAUAGGAAUGUAAAGCUCAGAGAACGACAUAUCAAUAAAACAUUUAUUCUUACCAUGUGUUCACAUUCCAAAACA
rnacentral:lncRNA from 1 species